rnacentral:rRNA from 1 species
GACGAACGCUGGCGGCGUGCUUAACGCAUGCAAGUCGAACGGAAAGGCCCUGCUUUUGUGGGGUGCUCGAGUGGCGAACGGGUGAGUAACACGUGAGUAACCUGCCCUUGACUUUGGGAUAACUUCAGGAAACUGGGGCUAAUACCGGAUAGGAGCUCCUGCUGCAUGGUGGGGGUUGGAAAGUUUCGGCGGUUGGGGAUGGACUCGCGGCUUAUCAGCUUGUUGGUGGGGUAGUGGCUUACCAAGGCUUUGACGGGUAGCCGGCCUGAGAGGGUGACCGGCCACAUUGGGACUGAGAUACGGCCCAGACUCCUACGGGAGGCAGCAGUGGGGAAUAUUGCACAAUGGGCGGAAGCCUGAUGCAGCAACGCCGCGUGCGGGAUGACAGCCUUCGGGUUGUAAACCGCUUUCGCCUGUGACGAAGCGUGAGUGACGGUAAUGGGUAAAGAAGCACCGGCUAACUACGUG